rnacentral:lncRNA from 1 species
GAGAAUGGUGAGGCAGCAGUGUGGCAGUCGUAGCUAGUGUUGGCUUUUUUAAUUGAGGUGUGAAUGAAAAAUGUAUUAGGUUAUGUUUUAAUGAUGAAAAUUAAGAACACCUCUAAAUGAUUCAUGCAUUGUGCAGGUAAAACUGUCAAGCAAAAAGGAAGAAUCACAAGGCGGGAACAUAAGUUUAAAAUUAAUAAAAUGGAUAGUCUAGAGCCAAUUCAACACAAGACAAGAAAGGAAAGAAUAUUGGCCUAAGUGAAACUUAUUUUGAUGAUUGACAAAGGAACUCAAGCAUGAACCAGGUCCAUACACAGUGUAGACAGACACGGGCAGAUUUGAGCACAAGGCAUACACGUGAAGAAGAUAAGUUUAAGUGGUUAUAUCUGAUAUCUCUUGAACGAAAACGUUACAUAAAUGAUAAGGAGAAGGACUCCUUACUCGAAGAGAACUCUAUCCUAGAUAAGGGAAGAGUUAGAAGUUGAAGAUAACUAGAACUCUUCCACCAUGGAAGAGUAUAGCAUUAGAACUCUAGUUAUUUUCUAUUCUACUAACUCUAUAUAUUGCAGGAUAUUCUCAUUUUACAGGUACGCACAAACGUUCACGUUAAACGUGAGUUGUGAGCAAAAUAGCAAGGCAUUUUGCAAGCAAUUCUUAUGUGAUUCAAGUGUGUGAACCUGAAGUUACAUGAACCAGAUAGAAAAACCAGUUUCAAGUAUCUGUCUUUUAUUCUAGUUUCAUUGUAGUAGGGAUUUUGAAUUGUACCUUUCAGCUUUAUCUAGAAGUAAUUGUACUAGGUACUCUGAGUGUUGUAUUCAAGUUAGAGUUAACUUGAAGUUGUCCACUACAAGAAAUACGACAUAUGACGAUAUUUUAUAACUGUCGGCGUAAGUCACAUAAGUGUCACAAAAUCACUUACCGACAUUUAUUUUACAUUUAAAUGAAAUGUCGGAAAUUUCAAUAUCGUUUUUUUUCCCNNNNNNNNNNNNNNNNNNNNNNNNNUUUGACUUUUAAUAUGAAUGUGAAAACAAUUAUUAGUCAUGGCUAAAUAUUAAAAGAAAAUAAUUAAUUAACAAUAAUGUAUUCAAAGUAACAUCGACGCUCAUUCCAAUACUUUAAUUCCCAGUACAGUACAAACAAUUUGAAUCAAACACAUAGUUACUUCAACAUUCAAUCACAUAAAUUUUCCCUUGAAAGUUCCCAAAACAAUCAUCGUCGGUCAUAGUUUUAGCUUUAGUGUUCAUGUUUUCCUCAAGUCCAGGAUUCCUCUGAAUUAUUUGCCCUCACAUUCCUCUAAACUCUUCUUCCAAGAACUAAAAUUGAAAAAGAAAAGAACCAUUACUAAACUGAUUUACGAAAACUAUUAAGUAGCAAAAAGAACAAUGCGAUUGUACAUCAUAUAAUUUCUUGAAGAAAUACAGGAGUCAUGCGACUACUACUAUCUGCAAGAAAACAUAAAGCCAUAUUCAAUAGUAGAAGCUUAAGAGAACUAAAUCAAUUUGGCAUCAUUAGCUUAUGGAAAAGAUCAUUCCACUAAUAGAGAUGGAGUUACAUACAACUGUAGGAAGUAUUUCACAAAUGAUGUACCGUUCUCAUCCAGCCGUUAGGUGAACAUCUUUUGUAAUCUUUUCCUAAAUGCCAUAUUUCAUUGUCCCGAGAAUGGUGGAUAAUACUUUCUAUAAGCAAAAUCAAAGAGAAAUAACAUAAAAAAUAUUAUUCUCCAGUCUUAAGGUAUCAUAUGUAGAAAGAAACGAUAUCAAGAUCACCUUGACAAAAUAGAAUUUUUAAUCAACUUGAGGCAAAUAAUAAUAAUUUUGCAGAAAGCUCAAGAUAUUUGAACCCGAAACUCCUAACAGUGCAGAAAAGGAACUAGCAAUCACUAGUAUCAUUGUACAGGCUUACUAAUUCCUUCUCUACUCCUGAAUUCAACAGAAUGAUUGAUCAAUUUCAGUCCUAACAUCAAUGCCAAUGUUCCUUAUCCAACAUAAAUUGUUAAUAAAGCUGAUAUUCACAAGAUACCCUACACCAUCCACAAUCUAAAUCAUCAAACACAUAAUCGUAAUGGUCAUUUACCUUCCCUUCAUAAACAAGUAUCUACAAGCUUCUUUUCCAUUCAACCAUCACAAACAAGAUUCUUUUCCAAUCUAAUUUACCGUGCUGUUUGGAUUAGAGUCGCCAUCAAGCACAACCACAAUAAUUCUAACACAAGACAAGUUACUAUAUAAUAUCCUUCUGUUGGAACCAACAUCACAUGAUUCAGCAGCGAAUAAGGUUCAACACAUUAAAAAAGUCUUAACAUGUCAAAAAUACCAAGAUCAAGAUUAAACUAGUAAUCUAUAUCUUAUCAGACAUUUCAUAUCAAUUUAAUAUUCAGUUGUUUUCUCUUUUAUAGGAAAACAAUACAGAGUGCCAUUUCAUUGGCUCAAUAUAGAAUAGUUUGUCAGUAACAAAUACUAAUCAAACAAACUAUCUAGUUGAAGCAAAAACAGUCCUAUAAUUUAAUUCAUUACCUUUUACGUCGUUUGAUAAAUGUCGUAUGUACUAGUAAAUGGAUUCAAGGUUUUAUAGCAGUAAGAACGAUGAACAACCAAAUAAUGUUAAUAAUCUCAUCACUACCAUUACAAAAUCAGUUCAACAUGAAAAGAUGAAUCAAAGGAAGUGCAAACUUUAAUCUCAUGUUAAUAAAACAAAGCCAGCCCAUUAAAUUUUAUUUAAUCCUCUAAGGCAUUUGCUCAAACAGCUGAUAUGAACAGAAUACGACGGAAAUAAAAGAAAAGGUAGCAAAAAUUUUAAAGGCAGUUAACCAGAAAUUCAAUCCAGUGAACAACAGAUUAGAACAGAAAAAUACUUACCAAAAUCUUAAUAUCUUCAACCAGAUGUUUGAGAAUUACAGAGAAUAGAUUAAAUAUGGCAGUCGAUUGUGUGUAAAAGGAGGCCUAAAUUUUGGUGACCUUCUAUCAUGUUUAUCUUUCUAAGACAAUCUAACACCCAUGUAGUUUCCCCUUUCAAUUCUCCACACCACAUGGCGACCUCGACGGUUUAGUGAACAUAAAAUGGGGGACGCCUAAUUGGGGUUGAGGAAAGGGGAGAGAUUGGUAGGGUUCUUAGAGAAGACAGUCUUCGUAAUAGUGUUUAGUUCUGGAUUAAACAUUAUAAAGUUAGAAAAUUUCCUUCAUUA